CAGGCCUGGGGCAGGAGCAGAACUACUACAAAUGCAUUUUCACCUGGGUGAAAAGACUUGCAGCUAGAGCCAGGCUAAGAAGAUAGACCUGCUAUGAUAUACAUAGAAUCAUAGACUGGAAGUUUGCUCAACGCCACGUGGAAGCGGCCAAGGCGUGGGGCCUGCACCCUCUGAAGCAAUGCCUCAAGCUGUACCUUGGCCCAUUUUCACCAUGGCUGGAGCUGGAGCAGCAGGGACACAGGUCACCAAGUCACCAGGCUGCACACAGCAGUGGAGCCCUGGGCCUGACCCACAAUCUAUUUUUUCCUCCUAGGCUUCAGGACCUAUGAAGGGAGGGGCUGCCAUUAAGAUCUCUGACAUGCCUUGGAGACAUUUUCUUCAUUGUCUUGGUGAUUAACCUCUUUUCUUAUGCA